CAGUCACAUCAUGUGGAAACACCAGUUCACAUACAUUCACCAAAGUUAAGCAAUGUUGAACCUGGUCAGUACCUAGAUGAGUGACUGCUUGGAAAUACCAGGUGCUGUAA